UCUACAAGCCAUACCACCCUGAACGCACCCGAUCUCAUCUGAUCUCGGAAAAAUAGAAACGGGAUUUUGCUAUAU
rnacentral:rRNA from 1 species